rnacentral:lncRNA from 1 species
ACGGAACCAGCGGGCGCGGCCAGGGCCGCCUAUACCUCUUCUACCCUCCGCAGCCUCUCUGGACAGUCAGGAGGAGUCGAUACAGUUGAGAAAGAAGACAACGAUGAGGUUCGAGGUACCGAGGCUGUCAUUAGUUUUUCUCUGAAGUGCCUGAACGUAGGAAUGGGCCGUCGACGGAGGGGACCAUUCGGAUGUUCCCCCACCUCGCGACGGCCGCGCCAGGCAAAGAGCCAGCAGCCCUGCACUCCACACUGGCCAGGAAAAGCCUUCCACGAGGAGCGGUCAGACUGCAAAAUCCAAUGUGCUUCCUUCCCCGCCACGGUCCUCUCUCUCUCUCGGGGAGCCGAUGGUCCCCGUCCCUGAACCCCCUAGCCCGCAUCCCCACCACAGAAUCUAAGACCUUUCAUCUGGCCGAGCCAGGGGCAAAGGGGAUCCUAAGCAAAUGCCUUCCGUGGACAACAGGCCCCACGGCCUAAAGGGCUCCCAGGGCAAACUUUCCCCCAACACUUGAAGGGGGGUGGGGGGGAUGGCGGCUACACAUUCCACUAAGUGCAGCACUCGCACCCACAACCCGGAAGGAAGGCUCUUAAGCGAUUCUCAGAGGGUGGUGACUGCCCAUCAUCGUCAGACGGUGUCGUGGUUUGGAAUGUUAAUUAUCGCAGAGGACCUGGUAGAGGUAUAAAGACCUUUUUUCACUGUUACCUAAUUUUUUUUUUCCUCUUACAAUUUUUUUUUUGGUGUGUUGUACAGCAGUAUAAUUUUUCACUUAUUUAUUCCAUCGGUAGAUAUUGUUUGUACAAUGUACAAUGGUUUCAUUUCAGAAAAUAAUAAUAAUAAAAAAAAAAGUUCUGAUCAUGAGUUUGGUGGCUGAGCCCAUUGUAAUAGAGAAUAAAAUGAGGUGGAUAGUGAUGGCCUUCCUGGGCUGCUCAGGUUUCCUUUGUAAGUCUUGUAAGUCCCUUGUAGGAGACUCUGCUGCUGACCAGAGUUAUUAUUUACUAAUAAUUAUUUAAUAAUAACUCUAGUCAUUAUUUAUUAAUAAUGGCUAGCUGCCAUUAUUAAACACCAGGUGAGUGCUAGGCCGGCAGUAGACACUCCUUUUUCUGGGUGGAUGUUGUUUGUUACCUCGUACAGAGUAGACAGCAAGGUUGUACCUUGUCCAGCUUAGGUAGCCAGGUAAAGCUGCAGUCUAAAAGCUAUACCCGGGGCUGGAGAGAUGGCUCAGCAGUUAAGAGUACUGACUGUUCUUCCAGCGGUCCUGUGUUCAAUUCCCAGCAACCACAUGGUGGCUUACAACCAUCUGUAAUGGGAUCCGAUGAACUCUUUUGCUGGGUGGUGGUGGUGAACACCUUUAAUCCCAGCACUUGGCAGGCUGAGGCAGGUGGAUUUUCUGAGUUUGAAGCCAGCCAGGGCUAUCCAGAAAAACCCUGUCUCAAAAUGCUUUUUGUUUAAAAGAGCCAGGAAUUGUGGGGCAGACAACCCAUAAUCAUAGCACUUGGCAGGCUGAGGCAGAAGGAUUGCUUAGAGUUCAAGGUCUGAACAAGUUGCAAGCUAGCCAGAGCUACUUAGCAAGACUCUGUCGGGGGGGGGGGGGGGGGGGAUGCAGAACAGCUAGGGGACCAGUAAAGAUGGUUUAGACCGAUGGUUCUCAACCUUCCUAAUGCUGAAAUCCUUUAAUAUAGUUCCUUAUAUUGUUGUGACCCACAUCACCCCACUCCUGACUGGAAAAUCACUUUCAUUAAUAUUCAUAACUGUCAUUUUUGCUACUGUU